CAUGUAUGUUAGCGUUCAGAACAACAUAGACAAACAUUUCUUUUCUUUUGUUUCUCUUGUUUACAGCUAAAUCUGAAAUGGUAUUAAACAUUGUUUCAUGGCUGGAGGUCAUCAUUGCCUUUUUGAUUGGGGUACUUCUUUCAACAGUCCUUUGCUGUUUGGCAAAAAAAUGCCACAGAAAAAAACAAAAGAGCUUUGGAAAUCUGGAUGAGACUCUAGAGAUGGUGACCAGUCAAGAGGUUCCACUGAUAGCUGCUGAUCAAGCAGUGGAAGAUGAUCAGACCUACUACCAAGAGGCAUCUGAAGGAGAAGAAGAAGCUGUGGCAGAAGAGCAAGCAGAUCAAGCAACCCCUGAUCUCAAUGGUGGACCUCAAGAUGUGGAGUACGCCAGCAUUGAUUUCUCCUUGUUGAAAACAAAGAAUCCCAGGACGGCAGCAAAGAACCAAGAGACCACGGAGACAGAGUACGCUGAAAUUAAGAAAGAAGUUAAAGAGGAAAUAGAAGACAAUGGCGGAGAGGAAGGUGAUGUGUUGGAAGGCAAAGAUGAAGAGGCGAUGAUCGGGGAUGAUGAGGAGAUAGAACAGUUUGUUGCUAAAGAGGAGGAAGGGGAGGACAUGGCUGUGUACUCCAAUGUGAAGGAUAUUAUGGGUGAGAUUUGAGGACGCUUGCAUCAAGUCUCUUUGCUCUCAUCAGUUGUGAUGGAUUGAUCUAAUGGACUGAUGAUGGAUUGUUAUUGCGACAAAUCAAGGACCUGUAAGCGGUUUCUACCACAGCGGUGUGAUAUUAAAAUGCCAAAUUCAGCCUGUGGUAACUGGAAGUAACCAAGACACUUCACUCCUCUACCUGUUAGGGGCUGUGCAAAUCCAUUCAUUCAACUAAGGGUGCACUGAAAGUUAGACAGAAUUUUUAGAAAGUGUUAUUGUGUUAACUUUUCAUCAACUUUCCAGAUAAGUUUACCUGCAUCCUCUCUGCUCUGAGAGCCGAAGUGUUUGUUAGUUAUUAUUUAAUGAAGAUAAUUAUGUGCCUUAAGUGUCCCCGUGGUCAGUCCAAAUCCCUUCUGAAUGGAGAGAAGAGGUGUCUCUUUUUUUAGCGUGGCUCAAGAGAUGGUAACGUUGGUCUUGUCUGCUUGGCGUUGUGUCGGACCACUUUGGUUUAGAGUGAAAUAUCACAACAACUAUUGGAUGGAUUCCCAUUAUAAGUUGUACUGAAAUUCAUGUUCCCCAGAGGAUGUAUUCCAAUUACUUUAUUCAUAUUGUGACUUUUCCUGUAGCUCUGUCACCAGGCUUGCAUGUGGUUUUAAGUUAAAUGUCUAAGCAACUAUUGGAUGGAUUGCCUUGACAUCUGUAGGCUGUAGUCUCUUAGUCUUGUUUCAUUUUCAUUGAGAGCGUCUGCAGCACAAAGGAUAUAUUGACAUUUUUUCAAGUCUAUCUCAAUAUAGUACUCACAUGCACAUAUGUAUAUCGAAAGAGUUAGAUCCCUUCAUAAAGAUUUUCCAAUGUGAAAGAAGGACAAAAUCUACAGCCCAAAAUGCAUUCCAAAUAUCAACCAAAACUAAUAUAAGGCUUUAGUAGAACUGAGUUAGACAAAUAAAGUGUGUCUUCUUAAUUGCAGACAUUUUGAUCUACAUAUGGGGAUGUUAGUAUUGUUUCAAGACAGACUCAAAAAAUAUGGUCUCCUUAAAACUGGGGUGGUUUAUUUUUUAUGUAAAAUCUUAAGGAUUGUUAAAUUACAAAUUACAGGUCGGUAUGCCGUCUUUAGUUUUUUAUUUGAUCUGCUUUUUUAAACCGAUAAAACGCUUGGCCUGAUUUGUCUCUAUAGCCCUGUUAGUGUUCUUGUUUAAGAAGUCAUAUAUUACUUCCCUUUUUUAUUGUGUUAAAGGAAUUAACUUGACUCACAGUACUAAGAGUGAGCAUUAUCUGGCACAUCAUUUUAACCGAAAGCCCACUUGCUUAUAUUUAGGAUGAAAUCAUUGAAUUGUCAGUUAGAACAAAGCCUUUCAUACUUUUAGUACACAUUGCAAUGUUUUCAGGUUCUAUAUUAAGUGUUCAAUAUGCAGGCAUAAAGUAACUGAUAAGGACAAAAUUGUUGCCAGUUCCUUGCUAAAAACAGUUAUACUAUUGCACCUAACGUGUCAACGGGAAGUUAUUAGAGAACACAGUGAUGCCUUAUAAGGCGAUAUUUAAAUGAAUAAUGACUUCUACUAAUCUUUUCUGAGAACACAACUUAAAGAUGCUGCACAAUAAACCAUUAAACCAAAACAAACAUAAUGUUACAAAUAUAGACGUGCUUUCAAAAAGGCUGCAUGCUGUUUGAAUUAAGAUCUAUGAUUUAGAGAAAAUGCUUUUCAUGCAGGUAUUUAAUACACUUAAACAAUGACUGGAGUUGUCUUUUUUUCAUACAUGAAUAAACUAAUGAUUAAAAUAAUGACUCGCUUUGUCAACUGGCCAGAUAUUAACCAGUUAUACAGACCACUCACAUGCACACACCUUUCACUAUGCACAUCAUGUAUUAUGCAUUACAAUGUAGAACGAUCUGAUUUCUGAUUCUGAUUCUGAUUCUGAUUGUUGGUUUGUUAAGAUGACAACAUUUUCUAAAUGCACACACAUAUGGUACUUCCCACAAAUUCCUCGUAUGUGCAACGUACUUGGCAAUAAAGCCC
ensembl:lncRNA